GGCAGAGGGAUUCAGGAGAGGCAGGUGACUUUUAUCCUGAGUUAUUGACUUAUGAAGAUUUCAGUAAGGAGAGUCAAUUUGUAGUUAAUCUUUUUGCUCGUGGAUCCUGUUGAAAGCUUCCAGUGCUUUCUUGUUUUAUA